CUCGAUGUGUAUGAAGCAAGCUGCCUCUGCAUCAAGUGAGGGAAGAAGCCGCCACUGAAAAGCUUUUUGGACUGUCAUUUGAAGGACACAAAUGAAAGGACAGGAAUUCUGCUCUGCGGCGUUGGCCUCACUAUUUAUUCAAGAAGCCCUUGGACACCACCAGAAUGUAUGAAAAUUGUAAACAGUAGGCACAGUCAUUCCUUGAUCGACCUGGCAUCAACAUCGCUCGAUGUGUAUGAAGCUGCAAGUGAGAGAAGAAGCCGCCACUGAACACCUUUUUGGACUGUCAUGACUCAAAUGAAAGGACAGGACUUCUACUCUGCUGGGUCGGCCUCACUACAUAUUCAAGAAGCCCUCGGACGUCAUCAGAAUGUAUUAAUGUGAAGAGGCAACAAGGGAGAGAUGAACGCUAUCAAAAAUGUGGAGAUGGAUCUGGCAGCCGACUGCUUUGGCACACACCCAACAAGAAACAAAACAAUAAAGAAUACUAAAAUGCAUAA